CCCCUCAGCCCUCUCACCCCCACCCCCACCCGCACAUGCAGUGGGCGCUCUCCCUGACAGCGCCCGAUCCCCGCAGGGAUUCUUCAGAGAGUACUUCUGGAGUGAAAGUUCCCAAGACAGUGUCCACUCCGUGGGUAUGGGCUUCCCUUCUUCAGCUUCCAGGGCUCCGAGCUGCCAAAGCCGGGGUUCCCUACCCCCUGCAGAGAGCUCCCGCCCCUGCUCCCUCCCCUCUGCAGCGGGAGAGCUCCGAGGCCGCGCUUCUGCUCCCUGCAGCGAGAACUCGGGGCACUUUCCCUCUCCCUGACCCCCAGUCUCUGCUCUGCUCCGGUAGCUUCGCGCCCCCUGGCACUGGGAGGCCCCCCUCCUCACUCUGUCCACUACCUUGAGGCAGCCCCUCUUUCUCCAAGGGAAUUUCCCUGUUUGGCUACGUCCCUGGCCCCAGCCCAGCCGCAGCUGUGGCCGGUCCCCCAGGGCCGGAUGGGUGGGCCCGGCUCACCGGGCUGGGGACUGGGAUGGAAAAUGGUGGUUCCAGGCAGGUCAGUUCUCAUGACCCGAGGCCGGGCCCCUUCCACGGCCGCUGCAGGACCAGCCCGCAGGGGUCCCCCGCGGGUUGACAUUUGCAAGUGGAAGCGACACAAGACAGUUGGAAGCUAAUGUGGAGUGGAGGGUCUUCUGGGUCAGAUGUAGACCCACCGGGCUAGGAGAGUCUGGAAGAGGCAUGGUUUGGAGAGGAAGUUCUGGAAAGACUCCAAAUUCACAUAAAAAGAAACUCUGGAGAAAGGAGGACAACGAUAGGGACUGACCACAACUGAUCGGAGAGUUUGGCAGAAGGGAGAAAACUUAGAGAAGGAGGAGCAGAAGACAAAAUGGUGGGACAGAAGAUACGGGGGAGCCCCUCACACAAGCAGUCUCUGUCACCCCCCACCUCCCCACCUCCCAACCCCCCUAGCCCUGUCCAGGGCUAUGAAGCUGCUGCUCCAGCCUUCUCAUUCUGUCACCAUAGUCACUGCUCUUGGCCCAACCUUUCCCCAGGCUGCUGCUGCUGCUGCUCUAUGUGUGUGUGUGUGUGUGUGUGUGUGUGUGUGUGUGUGUGUGUGUGUUUAA